rnacentral:tRNA from 1 species
GGUGUGUAUAGCUCAGUUGGUAGAGUGCUGCCUCACACGCCCAGGCCGUGGGUUCAAUCCCCAGCAACACCA